GGAGCCUACAGCCACUCUGGGAAACAAGCCUGAACGAGCCGGGGGCACUUCGCACAAGAAAAGACUUUCUGCAUCAGUGAACAGAUUCUUUUUCCCCAGAACCACUCCUGGCAAAGGCUAAGCUUUUUCCCAGGUCUGCCUCAGCCUGCUGCUAACUAAGCAUGAGCAGGUUUUCUCUCACCAGGGCCCUGCUGAACAGAUCCCAUUUGAACAGUUUGUUAUUUCUCCUCCUCCUUUUUGACGUGCCACAGCAACCUGAGGGAGCCAAUACUCAAAAGAGAUAACAAGCUAUGACAAGUAAUGCAAGAAAAAAUGGCAAGAUGGUAAAUCCUCUAGGGAUUCACUGAAGCCUGAAGUUCUUUCUUGUGGAGGAAAGGGGGGAUGGGGGG